AAAUGAUUCUUAUCUCUUUUUGGAGAGAUGGCCGAGAGGAUUAAAGCGUCGGAUUGCUAAUCCGUCGUACAAUUUAUAUGUACCGAG
rnacentral:tRNA from 1 species